CAUGGUGUGGGAGGGUGCAACAUCUCUUAAACUGCACAGGGCAGACCGGGCAGACCCUUCCGGACUGCGGUCUGGAGCUGCUGUGGCUGGUGAUUGACUGAUUGACUGGCACGGGAAUGUAGACACGUUCCUGUGUGCUGCACCUACACCCAGCUGCUGCUCCUGUCCCAGGACACACCUCCAGCAGAUGCACACUUGAGCUGGGCAGAGAACUGGCCCUUGGAGCUCUCUGGCAGGUCUAAUAGCCAUUUCACCAAGCACAGUGGCACCAGGGGAAGACUUGACAUGGGUGAUGUACUGGCAGAGUGGGAAUCCUUUCUGUGUGGAGUCUGAGCGUUCAUGUGGAGUUUCUGUGGGGGCCUCAUGAAGACGUGGUAAGUCUAUUGGUGACCCUACAUUUUCCCAUGUUUAUUUUUGCAUGUGCAUGCCUGCCCUGUCAUGGACCCAUACUGCAAUAUUUUUAUUUUGGAGAUGAUUCUUCAGGACGCAUUCUAUGUCAGAUGUUAUACGCUACAGUAUGUUGCUGUGCUCAUCACCAGGAAUAAGCAGCCUUUCAACAAUGGAAAGAUGGUUAGAU